GGAGCAGGAGCUGGUCGGCUGCAUGGAGGGCGGGCUGCCCCUUUGUGAAAUCACCUCAGUCCUCUGGCUGGUGAACAGUUUCAUGAAGGUGAAGUUCUAUGCAGCUGGAGGUUCUUCGUUCCAGAGGGUCAAAGUAGGUGAGGCCCCGAGGCCAGCAGGCAAACAGAGCCACUGGGGCUGAGGAAGAGAUGAAGACACAGACACACAGAAGAAAGGCGUGUGAGGACACAGAAGACAGGCAUCUGCCGGCAAAUGAGAGAGGUCGCGGAACUCGCCCUGCCUAGAUCUCAGACGUCAGCCUCCAGAACUAGGAGGCAGCAAGCUUCUGGAAUAAGCCGCCUGGUCUGUGGUAUUUGUGUCAACAACCCAAGCAAACCAGAACAGCAUUUUAGCUUUCUUCCCCAGCCAGUCCUUUCCUUCCAUGUUCAAAGUCAGGGUGGCUGAACGACAUGUUCGUGGCUGGCAUUCUCUGCCACCAGCAUGGCCCAGUCCUCUUAGAAUCAGGAAAGAUCUAGUCCACUCAGAAAAUGAAGGGAGGGCCCUCAGAAAGCUUAGCAUAGAAUUGAUAUUUGACCCAGAAAUACAAUUUCUAGAUAGACAGAUAAUUAGAAACCAGUAUUUAGGGGGCUGGAGAGAUGACCCAGCAGGUAAAGAGUGCUUGGUACAAAAGCAUGAGACCUGAGUUCACCAGCACCCACAUAAAAAGCCAGGUGUGGUCUUGUGUACCUGUAACCCCAACUUGCUGGCCACCAGCCUAGCUCCAGGUUCAGUGAACGACCUGUCACAGAGAAAUAAGGUAAUGGUAACAGAACCAGAUACCUGAUGUCCUCCCCUAGCCUCUGCAGUGUGCAACAGGCUCAUGCACGUGCUCACAUGCAUGUGCAUACAACAUAUACACACGCAGAGAAUCUGGUAUGUGAAUUCUUAAAUGUGGAUGCUCACAAAAGCACUAUUCACGUGAUCAAACUAGAGAAAACAAUCCAAGUAUCCAGCAACAAACGGAUUCUUUAUAGUAUAUCCAGACAAUGAAACAUGGCUUAGUUGUAUGUGAACCUAAAAAUUUAUAGCCACUUUUGAAAGAGCUGU